ensembl:lncRNA
AUGAAUAAAGUGGAAAAAUCCUGGAUUUUCCUUGGGGUUUUUAUUGGGAUUGGGAUUUUUCCGGCUCCAUGGAAGUGUCCAAGGCCAGGUUGUGGAAUUUGGAUGGAAUUUUGCCUCGGGAAUUCCAGGAUUUUGAGGGAAAUUCAGGGAUUCAGAUCCCAUUCCCCAUCCUGUGGGAUUGUGGAUUUUCCUGGAUCUGGAAAGGGCAGGAAAAGGAAAUUCCCAAGCUCUGGAAUUUCCCUGGAAGCAGCAGAGAGAGCUCAAAAAAAGCUGGAUUGGGAAAAAUCCAGGGAAAAACUCCAGGUUUUGAAGAAAUCUGGGAAAAAUCUCCAGGAUUUGGGAAAAAUCCAUGAAAAACUCCAAGAUUUGGAAAAAUCUAGGAAAAAUCUCCAGGAUUUGGAAAAAUCUGGAAAAAACACCAGGAAAGUUCCAGGAUCUGGGAAAAAUCUCCAGGAUUUGGGAAAAAUCUCCAAGAAAGUUCCAGGAUUUGGAAAAAUCUGGGAAAAAAACCAAAAGGAUUUGGGAAAAAUCUGGGAAAAAGAUCCAGGAAAGUUCCAGGAUUUGCAGAAAUCUUGGAAAAUCUCCAGGAUUUGGAAAACUUUGGGAAAAAUCUCCAAUAAAGUUCCAGGAUUUGGGAAAUUCUGGGAAAAAUCUCCAGGGUUUGGAAAGAUCCAGGAAAAAGCUCCAGGAAAGUUCCAGAAUUUGGAAAAACCUGGGAAAAAUCUCCCGGAAAGUUCAAGGAAUUGGAGAAAUCUGGGAAAAAUCUCCAGGAUUUGGAAAAAUUUGGGAAAAAUCUCCAAGAAAUUCCCAGGAUUUGGGAAAAAUCUGGGGGAAAACUUCAGGAAAAUUCCAGGAACUGGAGAGUUGUGGGGAAAAAACUCCAGGAUUUGGGAAAUUCUGGGAAAAAUCUCCAGGAUUUGGAAAGAUCCAGGAAAAAGCUCCAGGAAAGUUCCAGAAUUUGGAGAAAUCUUGGAAAAUCUGCAGGAUUUGGAAAAACCUGGGAAAAAUCUCCCGGAAAGUUCAAGGAAUUGGAGAGAUCUGGGAAAAAUCUCCAGGAUUUGGAAAGAUCCAGGAAAAAAACUCCAGAAAAUUCCAGGAUUUGUGAAAAAUCCAGGAACAUUUCUUGCUUCUUUUUUAUCAGGAAUUUCCCUUUUCCAGGUUUUUUUGGGGCAUCUCCUUCCUAAUUUUCCUCCAGGAAAAGGAGCAGGAAUUCAGGGAAAUUUGGGAAAAAUCCCUCCCAGCCUUAAAUCUUUGAGUUCCAGCUGGAAAAGGAGGGAAAAAUUCUGGGGAAAAAAACCAAAUCCAAGGGAAUUCCCAAGGAAUGGAGGAUUUGGGAUUCCUGGGAAAGGAGCUUUUGGAAUAAUUCCAGGUGGUCUCAAAUCCAAGGGAAAUAAAGGAUUUUAUUUGGAUGUAGGAAAGGAGGAGCUGCCAGAGGUUCUGUGGGAUUUUGGGGGAAGGAAUUCCCGAAUUUGGGAUGGAAUUCCAUGGGGUGGGCGGGGUUUGGGGUUGUUCCUAAGGAAAAGCAACACGGAAUUCCAGGGGAUCCCGUUUUUCCA